GGCCCAGUAGCGGAAGAUCCGCACCUGCAAUCUAUACAAGAUGUAACACCCUGUAUGCAGAGGUCGCUCGUUCGAUUCGGGCCUGGGCCG